rnacentral:rRNA from 1 species
GUGUCAGCCGCCGCGGUAAUACGUAGGUGGCAAGCGUUGUCCGGAAUUAUUGGGCGUAAAGGGCGCGUAGGCGGAUAUUUAAGUCUGUCGUAAAAAUGCGGGGCUCAACCCCGUAGUGUCGAUGGAAACUGGAUAUCUUGAGAGCAGGAGAGGAAAGUAGAAUUCCCAGUGUAGCGGUGAAAUGCGUAGAUAUUGGGAGGAAUACCAGUGGCGAAGGCGGCUUUCUGGACUGUUUCUGACGCUGAGGCGCGAAAGCUAGGGGAGCGAACGGGAUUAGAUACCCCGGUAGUCCUAGCCGUAAACGAUGGGUACUAGGUGUAGGAGGUAUCGACCCCUUCUGUGCCGGAGUUAACGCAAUAAGUACCCCGCCUGGGGAGUACGGCCGCAAGGUUGAAACUUAAAUGAAUUGGCGG